ensembl:lncRNA
CACUCAUUGUUUGCUCAUAAAAUGUCUUUACGACUCGAGUUGGAGGCGCAGCCUUCACACAACGCCGGGUGGUGCUCGUUGGGAAUGUCUCGAGGAAGAAAAGGAGCUGCAACCUCGAGAGGAAAUGAAGUCACCGCGUUAUAUAUCUCCUUGCACGGCAGCGGUGUAUACACGGAGAUAGAUAAGAUUAGAUGAUGGAUGGGAAAAGCGGAGCCCCUCCCGAAAGCGAUGGUUCUCAAUUACAGAGAGCGCAGAGCGACCGCGGAACGGGGGGUGACCCCAAAAACCGACCCCCUCCACCCCACCGGAGAGCUCCGUGCCCCCAAAGCGCCGCGUUACAGCGAUCCGAUCGUCCCAAUAAAGAG